UGAUGGGAGUGUUGAAAUGAAGAAGAGAAUAACCAGAGAAAAUGAGUUAGUUUGAGAUCAAAAGAGAGUUCAUCAAGAGAAGCCAAUGGCCCAUUGUUGAAGUUGAAUCAUGGACAGUCAAAUCGUGGACACUUGAAUCAUGGACAGUGAAUCGUGGACAGCUGAAUCCAAAGUUCCCCAACAUGUUGAAGCUUCAAGUAAACUAAGUUUGGAUGCAAUGGUUUAAUUCUGGUCAGAAUUGGACAAGAAGAAGUCACAUGGGGGCUUAGAGAAGCAACCGGACUUGUCACUAUCCAACCAUGAAGAAUGCACCUUGCUGAUGUCACUUUCACUUCAUCUGUUUGAGCGAGGCUUGGUUUUAUCCUCUUUGUCCUGAUCAGAACCCUGUAAUAUUAAUUGUUUAGAUUUCUCAGAUUUAGUAAUUGUUUAUUACAAGUGAUUGUCUAUUUGAAGAACUUCACCAUCUCUUGUCACAUCAACUAGAAUCAAUAUACAAGUUUCUCUCAUCAA
rnacentral:lncRNA from 1 species